rnacentral:lncRNA from 1 species
GGGGGCAGGAAAGACCAGACAGAGCUGCAUCUCCCAUGAAAACAACCGUGUACAUAUGAUAGAGUGAGUACAUAGAGUACAUAGAAGAGUGAGCUCUGAAAGAACUCUCACAUGGACCCCAGAAAGAGGAGUACUCAACGCCUGCUGCACAGAAGGCAUCAGCAGUAAGUACUGGCUAGAAAAGCAGAGUCCAUCAAAGGAGAGGACCACAGUGGUAGCUGGCUGCUAAAGCUCUCAGUGUGAAUCAUAUUCCAUCAAUGAGACACACACACAUGUGCAAUAUGGAAGAUGAGUGAAAUCCAGGCUAUCUUCCUGAAGCUACUGCUCCUGGCAAGUGUAGCUGUGGGGACUGAGUUUUGGGCAGCAGCAACUAACUCCCAGCUUCCAUGUGCUUGAGAGUCAGUUGCCGGGAUGCCAGCAGCUGCAUCCUCAGUCUAAGAUUGCAGCCAAUGGUGUGUUUUCAUGAAUCCACCGUUCAUGUGGCAGCCUCCUGGAGCUCAGACUGAUGCCUGCUCCUCCAGCCUUCCAAUACCUUUGCAAACACCUGAAUUCCACAUUAAUCUCUCUCUGUUUAGAAUACCCAGAGUGGCUUGGGUUUCCUGGGCUGAACCCUGCCUGGAGAGCUGUCCCUGCAAGCUGAACUAUCAGG